AUUAUAUUCAAAGAGCGAUUUAUUUACAAGUGUUUUUCAAAAACGUCGUUCGCCGUAUAGCUAUUGCUACACACAUUAACGGUUUUUCAAGCGUAAAAGUUGGAACCCUUUUGGAGUUUCGGACCAAUUUGUUUUGAAACAAAAUAUCUCAAAAGAAUCCCACACGGCCUUACGUAAUCGAUACACAAUGCUGAUUUGGCGUAACGUUAAAAUUAUCAUGAUGUGCGUCUUGCUUUUUGCCCUUAUCGCUUCAAGUUACGGUUUCAAUCGGGCUCCUGCUCGGAGAAGAUAUGACAAGAAAAACCUCCCAAGACGUAGAAUGCGAUUGCCAAAACAUUCAAUUUUUGGACCAUGGUAUUUAUAAGGGACGACUGCAAACGAAAUAAGGUAUUUAUAUAUUAUUAAUAUUUUAUUAAUCGCAUGCGUAUGAUAAAACGGUUCGUCCUCACAUUGGGACACUAUUGCGUAAGCAUAUGCAAGUUUUAAAGUACAAAAUAACGAGAAAUUCUAAGUACGAUUAGAAUAUUACUUUAAAUACUAGAAUUCAACAAUUAGUAAAACACGUAUAAUAAACAGACGUAAUAAUUAGUAACAAAUGUCCUAAUUAAAUGUUAAGAAAGUAUAGUUUUGAACGAAUAGUUUUGCGCUCAAAAAUGGGCGAAAUUCCUUUAUGCAUACAACAUUUUAAACAGAAGGCACUCGAUCGUACUUCCCCUGUUUAAAUUUAUAAACAACGCAUUGCUGAUUCACAACAUGUUGUAAAAUAAAACUUAUAUUGCAUUUGUUUCAAAAUUAAUUUCAAAAACAAUAUUUAUUAAUUACUAUUUUAUUGUUAUGUUUAAAAGACAUCUUUUUUGUACAGUUAGCAAACAACUAAAAAUAUUUACAAAAUUAAAGUUGCGCAAUUUUACUAAAUACGCCGGAGGGAUGCUGUGGAAUAGUCUCCUGCCAAGUUGGCAGGCCGGAUAUUAUUAUUCACUCUUUUAACGAUAUUAUCAGUUUCCAGCUAAGCGUUUUUCUUAUACGUGCAUGUGUGCACUCACGUGCGCGUACAGGAACCAACAAGACAAGUCUAACAGAUUUAACCUUUCGGCCUAAACCAAAAAGAGAGUACCUUAAAAAGAGUUUCAAUUAUACUGGAGCUAAAUUGUGGAAUAGCCUCCCGUUUGAUGCAAAGGUAGCGGAAUCUGUUAGCCAAUUUAAGAAUAUUAUUAGAGGUAGUGAUAGCUAAAUGAUAUUUGUGGUCACACCAGUAACAUUUACAAUGUAAAUAUUUCUUUUUUGUAAAUAGUUAAUAUUGGACGCCCCCCGUGGAAAUCAGCUAAUUGCUGUCGGGGCCAGCGUCAUUAAAUAAAGUUUUACCAUACCAUACCAUACCAUACCAUACAAAGAAAAUCAUUACCGUGUCCGUGGUUUUAUAUGUGAUAAAAAACAAUCUUCAUUUACAUAAACCUUAACUUUGAUUUUCUCGGCUGAGAAAAGGUUUAUUUUUGCAAUUACUUCGCCAAUGAACUCGAGGGGCAAAAUUGUGGACCAACCUCUUCGAUGAAUUAAGGAAUAAAGAAUCUCUUCCUAUACCAUUAAUACAACUAUUGCGACAUCUGGCCGGUUAAUUAAGUCAAUUAAUUAUUUAAUAUUCUGAUUGUUCGAUAAAUGAUACGUUUGACAUCUGAUUCUAUACAAAAACAAUCGACACACGGCAGUGUUAGAAAAAAACGUCGCUAUAUAACAAAACACUUAGUGCCUGUUUUGUAUUCAUUCGUGCAUAACAACAAGAUAGGGCAUUUGUAGACUUAUUGGUAUGUUAGGGUUUGUAAUCCAAGUGAUUAUAUACAUUUUAAGACCUGACCAGGAACGACUGCGAAAAAUGCAGCACAAGGUCCUCUGGUAGGAUUUGAACGACCCUGCGAUUAUAUUCUGCGAUUACAUUCUAAUAUUAAUUCCACCAAGUGAAGUGCAAAGAAACCACAUCAUUCAAGUCCAUUUGUAGACUUCUUAGCUUAAGGGGCAAUUUAUAACUCCUCUUUAAUUGCUGGGAAAAGGACACUUUUAUUCCACAAAAAGGGAACAUUUUCCCCUUGCGCAAAAAGAGGGGCGGGGGGGGGCACUUGCCCCCAAUGCCCCCAGUUCACACCCUCUAACGGUUUGUGACGGCGCCCCUCAUGAAACUUAACAUCUGUUGAUCAGGUAGCGUCUUUAAAUAAAUCUUACAUACAUACUUAUCCGCAGAGUCGGUUAACGCUCUACUAAAAGUCAUGGGCUUUCACGUCGCGUUUUCCGGAUUCCUCCCACAGGGAAGCUGACAGGGUGGGUUAAUUGAGAUUAGCCCGUGACUGACCUUAUUAUAAAUCUUUUUUUACAAGCAAAUUAUAUGUUAUUAUAUUAUUAUAUGUUAUCAACUGAGCGAGGUCCGGACUGGAAGAUCAUUAUAGUCGAGUUGUUUACAACACUUUUUGAAUAUUUAAAAAUUGCAGGAUUUUAAAGACCAUGUAAAGUCCGUAAUGUAAACAAACGCUUUGUUUACAUUUUGAACUCAGUGCUACAAUUGUAAAAUAUGAUUAGAUAUAUAUUAUACUGAAUUUUUAACACUCUUCUGGUUCGAUAUGCUUGUAAAUGAAUACAGACUAGAGAUUCAAUUCAAGAGAGUUCAAAAGCUACGAAAUAUUAAUAACAUUCCAACGGUCGGGUCCCAACCAUUGGAAUGUAAGCCUGCGCAGAACGUAUGCGCAGAACGGACUUUACAUGGUCUUUAAAUUUCUUUGACAAAGAUAAAGCGAUAAUAACAUAUUUUCAGAUAUUAAUACACUAAAAGACGAAAACAGAACAGUUUCUAGUCCAGUUUCGUUCUUGUUUAAUUGCCCGAAAUAUCGUUCAAUGGCGGCAAGUAUUAACUAUUACUAGCUCUGUCAACAUUUUAAGUGUUGAAAAAAGAGUUUUUAUAUGUCCAUGUAAACAACAUUUCAACACAAGCAAGAGCAGAAUAGUGAGUUAUUUUCUAUAAAAUAACUACCCAGGGUUACUAAAGGAGUUAUUUGAGCUUUCUUCGCGAGCUAUCCAUCCUAACGGUCUAUACUAUGAGAUCAGUGAUGAACUGCAAAUUACCGAGCGCUCAGGAACCAAUCAAAAUGCUGCAUUUUGCAGAUGGACAGCCUUGCCAUAUAAUAAAUGGAUACGUUCGGGCUUCAUUGUCUCGUUUGAAUGACUUUCAACAUAUUUGAAUUUGACUACUAAUUGUGGGGCCAUAAAAAAUUCACCUUCUUUAAUUCAAUAAACAAACAAACAAGGUGUUAAAUAUUUGGAAGGAAAAGCAAAAAAAUGAAAAACUGUCCGUGUGUUGAAAACCAAUUUGCUUACUUAAAUGACGAGUGUCGUAAAUCCUGUUAUAAUAACUCGUGAACAUUCCCAAAUAGUCAAAUCUCUUGUGAGAUAUAAAUGUAAUAGGAUAGCAUCUUGUUAUCCAGACCCUAAUAAUAGCCUCAUAUUGCAAAAACACUUGUACGGUCGUUAAACAAUUGUUUAAGUACAGCCAAUCAGAACCAUCAAUAAGUUCAGUCGCGACCAACUCAGAAACAACUGCCCAGAUCUGGGGAGCGCAACUUGGGGUCGACAAGCACACAGGCUGGUUAGCCAGGAAAAGCAACUAAUUUUUUCUGCAUUUUGAAAAUUUGUGUUUUCCAUGGUCUUAAUUAGAAUUAAAUUCUCUAUUUAUUUUAACGAUGCAGCUUUGAUUAUAAGAGGGUCCCCGUAAACAAUAUAUUUAUUCAUGCAUUUUUUUUUUACCGAAAAUCGGAGAAAGAAAGUUCUUGGAGAAAUGCGAAAUUUCAGAAAUAACAUCUCAAUGAAACCUGUCGAAAACAGGUCGAUCAAGUUUCCAAUUGAGGCCAAUUCUCAACCUUUGUACUUUGUACUCGGUCUUCAAAAAAUGGUGCAGUUUAUAUGGAAAUCGGUUGACGAAAGCAAAUUUCCAUAUAAAGGUUCAUACUAUGAGAUCAGUGUUGAACUGCAAAUUACCGUCCGCUCAGGAACCAAUCAAAAUGCUGCAUUUUGCAGGUGGACAGCCUUGCCAUAUAAUAAAUACAUUUAAUAGAACAUUUGGGCUUCAUUGUCUCGUUGAAUUUGACUACAAAUUGUAGGGCCAUAAAUAUAUAUAGCCUAUUUAUUAACAGAAAUUCACCUUCUUUAAUUCAAUGACAAACAAACAAGGUGUUAAAUAUUUGGAAGGUAGCAAAAGAAUGAAAAACUAUCCGUGUGUUGAAAACAAAAUUUGCUUAUUUAAAUGAUAAGUGUCGUAAAUCCUCUUAUAUCACACUUGCAUCGGUUUUCUUUGUUCGUCCGAGGUUUUUAACUAGCUUAUAGACCUUGAAUAAAUGAUUGGAUUAAACUUGUAGACAAAACGCGAGAAUUUUUCAUUAAAAAUUUUUGAAAAUGACAAAAUAUGUUGGAAAACCUCCGCAAGUGUGAUAUAAGUUAGUUAUAAACCGAGUAAGUCGGUUUAUAACCGAUAUAUUGCCCCUCGGACGCUACGCGUCCUCGGAUCAAUAUAUCAGUUAUAAACCUCCUACUCGGUUUAUAACUCUUACUUAUAAUAACUCGUGAACAUUCCCAACAUAGUCAAAUCUCUUGUGAGAUAUAAGUGUAAUAAUAGCCUCAUAUUGCGAAAACACUUGUACGGUCGUUAAUAUUUAAAUCCAGCCAAUCAGAACCAUUAAUAAGUUCAGUCGUGACCAAUCAGAAACAAUCUGGGUGGCGCAACUUUGGGUCGACAAGCACACAGGCUAGUUAACCAGGAAAAGCAAUUUUUUCUGCGUUUUGAAAAUUUGUGUUUUCCAUGUCUUUAGAAUUAAAUUUUCUAUUUAUUUUAACGCGAUGCAGCUUUGAUUAUAAGAGGGUCCCCGUAAACAAUGUAUUUAUUCAUCACUUUUUUACCGAAAAUCGGAUUAAGAAAGUUCUUGGAGAAUGCGAAAUUUAAAUAACAUCUUAGUGAAACCUGUCGAAAACAGGUCGAUCAAGUUUGCAAUUGAGGCCAAUUCUCAAACUUUGUUGUACUUUGUAUUCGGUCUUCAAAAAAUGGUGCAGUUCAUUAGUUACUAUAGCUAGGAGAAUUCACGAUUUAGAUCCGUGUUUUUUGGACAAUUAUUACUUGUUGAAAAACAACUAAAAGUAUCUUAUUGAUGUAAAACAACACCAAAGGGUUCAAAUUUUUUCACAAAAAUUACGCAACUGCCGUAUGGCAACAAUGACGUUUCAAGAUGGCGAAAACCUUGGAUUUAAGUCAUUUAACUCGUCUUAUUAAGUUAUGAAUAAUCACAUUUACAUCAUAGAUGUUGUUUUACAUCACUAAGAUACUUUUUAUUUCUCAACAAGUAAUAAUAUAAUUCUCCAAAAAUACGGAUCUAAAUUGUGAAUUUUCCAUUUUUAAAAAGCUGUUAGUAUCGAGUCACGACAUACGUACUAGAUGAUGAGACUCGGGGUGGCCAUAUAUCGCCUAUUGGUAUAAUCUCAUUAGUCAUUCACUCACAAUCGUUUAAAGACGAAAGAGAGGCCACUGGUGCCCAAUUUCUGUAUGUCAGCAGACUAUAGGUGCCCUUUACCAACGAUAACACGAAACUAUUAGAGCCGAGCACUUCUAACAUGCUUCUAACAUGACUCAUCACUACCACGGUACCUUAGCACCAACAGAAAGCUCCAUUAUAUAUACAGCUAUUUCAAUUUUCAAUUAAGGUUGUCCACGAGCAAAGCGGACUAAAAAGUCGAAUACGAGCGCGAAAGGCUUGCUGGGAUUCCCAGCGACCUUUCGCGCUUGUAUUCGACCUUUCCGCUUUGCUCGGGGACAAUCUUACAGUCGAUUUCAUGAAACUUUGACGACGUACAAAUGUUUCGAACUUCGUUGCGAAGUUCGCAAGUUCGUUGCAAAAUUCGGAAGUUCAUAUUGGAUUCACAAGCCAUUUUGUAAACAAACUGUCCCUGAUUGGUCACUGAAAUGGAAGAAGCCAAUCAGAUGCGUAGUUUCCAAACUGGUAUGUGAAUCUCAUUAUGAACUUUUGAACUUCGCAACGGAACUUGCGAACUUCGCAACGAAGUUCGGAACAUUUGUGGCCAAAGUUUUGUGAAAUCGACUGUAAUUGAAAUAGCUGUAUACUUGGAGCGAGCGAGAAUUUCAGUUGUUCGACUACAAGAUGGCGGCCAUUGACGUCCAAUAAAAGGUCGUAAACAGCUUUUAUAGCAUUUCCCCCAGCUAAUUCCAGUUUUUUCUAACGGACCGUAUCGCUAACCAAGUUAUCAGUUCAUAAAACCAUAGUGUUAUUCUUUAAAUCGAUGUCAAAAUACGAAAUUUCGGCACACUCCUUGCCAAGAUGGCGGAAAUUGAAGGAGCUAUUGGACGUUAGUUCCAGUCCCAUUCUAUUGUUUUUGUCUGCGCGGUUAACACGAAGAUGGCUUCACUUUUUGGAUUAGAGUUCUCGCUCCAGAAAAUGUUUUACUACAUCGAUAAUGAGACUCGAGGCGCCUAUUAUCCGCUCUUCUAGCACGACAGCAAUCCACAGUAGAUUUGUGCUGGUCCCAUCAAUAUGGCCAUCAUUGGCUUCAUCAGUAAUAUCAGAGUCUGUAAAGAUAUGAUGGUCUGGAAUGCCAGCAAACUUCAAAGCCACAAAAUAGAAGACCUUAUUUUGAUGUUGAACUGUACCUCACCAUGCGCAAAUCCUUUGUCUCAACUUCAUUAAAUAUUAUUCAUCGUGGUUGCACGUUUCAUCUCAGCUAUCCCUAUUCAGGACGGUUACUAAAUUUUCCGAAAAUACAAUGAGCUCAAAACAUAACUGUUGGGGAUUGCCUCCCUUGUUUCGCCCAACAAAUUCACGUACAAAAUAAAACCACAAAAUAAAUUCACAAUGACGAUAUACAGUUUGGAUAUAUAUAUUAGAACAAAAUAAACAAAAUUCAACAAAUUACAGGUUCACUUAUAGAUUCUCUCCGCUCGCAAUAUCGCAAAAUCACUCUCUCGAGGAAGUUUGUCUCAACACUAAAUGUUUCAUGCGCAUGCAGAUAUUUUGUGUUGCCUUUCGUAACAGGCACGCAUUGACCCGAAUUUUAUACAAGUUGGUACAACUUGGUACAAGUUGCCAAUGUGCUGCUACCCCUUGGGGUACAACUUGCCACCUUGACCGACCUAGUUAUAAUAUUCUAAAUUUAACUAAAUAAACUUAUGCGAAGUAACGUUCAAUAUAGAAGUUUGAUCAACCUAAAAUCGGAAUCGUUAUAUAACUAACUAAAACUAAUAACAUGCUAUAAGUACUAUUUACAACAUGAGCGGCUGUGUUUUGUAGCGGUAAUACAAUAUAGUUAUAUAAGCUAUCACUUGAGGAAAAGAACUGAAGAGGAUUAUACAUAUUGUAAUCCUGCAUGUAAUCUUUCAUGUAAUCUUGUAUAUAAAUCUGUAUGUAAUCAUUGCUGCAAUAAGUACCAAUGAUUAACCACUUAAUACUUUGAAAUAAAGCCGGAAAUUCCCCAAAUUCAUCUCAAAGUCAACAAGCUUAAGAUAAAUAGGGAAAAGUUGCUGAUCGAAUUAGGAUUAGAAAACAGGUACAUGUUCAAAAACAUGACGUACGUAGCUAUGGGCUCUUUUCUCUGUCCGUUAAUAAAGUCCGGAAAUUUGUACUUGAUAGUUGUGAUGUUACUCUGAGUGUAUAUCCACAUCGGGAAAGCUUGAAAAAUAUGCCUGGCCACGGUGGGAAUCGAACCUACGACCUUUGGAAUACUAGCCCAAUGCUCUGCCAACUGAGCUACGCGGUUCCUUCGAUAUCAAUGCAAUCUAGUAAUCACGAUUUUUUCUGUGUUGGUGUUAUUUUCCAGGCAUAUUUUUCAAGUUUGCCCAGUGUGGAUAUACACUCAAAAAAAUUUGUACUUGUUACAUUCGUCUACUGAAACAAGAGUAGCGAAAAAUAUACUAAAUAUUCCACAUCACCAUUCGUUUCCUGCUUAUUCAGCUCAAUGCAUAUAGCCUGUGCCGUAACUUUUGUAUAAUAAAGAGUCUGCGAUAAAAAGAUUGAAUAAUCAUACGGAUUUCCCAACAAUUUGCCAUUAGUCAGAUAUGCAGAUUCAAUACGUUUCAUCUCAUGUUCACGGGAUUAUCGGGUAUUAUUGUGGUUAGAGCUCGACAACUGGAUUCUGUUGCUCAGUUGGUUAGAGUGUUGCACCGAAAUCCGCAGGGCCGCAGGUUCGAUUCCUGAUAGAGGAACCUAGCUAGUCAGUUGCAUUUUUCGCAACCGUUAGUCGGCAUGCCGGUUACUAGGUCUUAUAUUGUGUAUACAGCUAUUUCAAUGGACCUUUCCCCUUAUAACUAAAAUUUCGAUCUAGACAAAAAUUUCAUCACAGCUUGAAAGAGCAUCACAAAAUUAGUAAUAUUCCAAAGUUUUGUUGCAAAAUCUUGUAAAAUGCGGAUAAUAUAGCCUUGCGAAGUUUGCCGUUUUUCAGUCAUUUUCUAUUACAAACGGGAAAUUGACAUACGAUUCGGGUGUUGGGGCUGCAAUUUCCCGUUUGUAAUGCAAAAUGACUGAAAAUUGCAAACUUCGCAAGGCUCUGUUUUCCUCAUUUAUUUUACAACAUUUCGCAACGAAACUUUGGAAUAUUACUAAUUUUGUGAUGCUCUUUCAAGCUGUGAUGAAAUAUUUGUCUAGACUUGCCUAGAUCAAAAUUUUAGCAAGGUUGUCCUCGAGCAACGCGGAAAAGUUGAAUACGAGCGCGAAAGGCUUGCUGGGAAUCGCUAACAAAAUUAUUAAUUUUUUAGCGAUUCGCAGCAAGCCUUUCGCGCUCGUAUUCGACUUCUCCGCUUUGCUCGGGGACGACUUUGAUUGAAAUAACUGUAUAUUAUCAUGUUCGCUUGGAUUAUCCACCAAACCCAGCAUGGAAAUUAAGUAUGCAUGCGAUUGCUCAUCCACAAACUACACGGUAAUAAUAUUCACUGUAUUUUCUUACCAUUUUAGGACGAACACUGUAUUGUGAAAGACAAGUAUAUUAUGCCAGCCCAGCUAGACAACAUAGACAGUACAUCUCAUGUACUGACUGGAGAAUAUACAUUUAUGCAUAUAUAUGCAGCAAUAAAUUUACGUGGUAUUUCCACAAGCAAAACUAUUAAAUAUACAUUUAACUGCCGAUUCAAAAUGGCCACUGGUUUUCUGGCGAAUGGACUUUAUGUACAAAACGAAAUAAUUUACUAUCGUUAAUAAAGGGGUUCUCCAGUCAUUUUUUAGUCGAAAAGCCACCUUAAGUAUUGUUUACACUUUUUCGUUAUUGUCGCUACUUGACAUGCGCACCACGACAUGCAUGCGUCUUCCGGUGUGCGGAAGUACUCAUACUCAUGGAUACUGCAUGUAAGAUACAGCCAAACGAAUCUCCGUGGAGUCCCCUACUUAAGGUGGCUUUUCGACUAAAAAAUGACUCUAGGUUCCCUUUAAAGUCAUAAACUUAGGGAAUAGGGAACGUUCAUUAUUUAUUUGUAUAGGUAUAUUAGUAUAGUUUUAAAUGCAAUUAAAUGCAAAGAUGAAAAUUUCGCCGAAAGAGUUAGAAGGACGCCUUGUUUGUUUUCAGUCUAAAUUGUACGAGAAAUCAUAGUAUUACUAGUUAAAGGGAGUAUUUGGCAAUAAAAGAUUACUUUUGAAAUUUUUGAAGCAACCAGGUAUAUCAGUCAUGUUUUCGCUUGCUAUAAAUAAAUAUAUCAGGUAUAUCAGUCAUGUUUUCGCUUGCUAUAUAAAUAAAUAAAUGAUGCAAAGCCCAGUCGAUUUCAGAUCACCCUUGAUUAAGACACUAUAUAGACUGAGUGUGAAAACGUUGGGUCGUGAAUGCAAUUCGAAUGGGCUUUGCAUUAAUUUAUAAAAACCUGGGAAGUGAGCGAAACCUUGUUUACUUAAUAUACUAUUUGAAAGAGCUUUGAAAAUUUCCUGAAAUAUUUUGAUGACAAUAUAAUCAUCAUAAAUUAUUGCAUGAGUCGCAUGUCCGCCAUCUUGGAUUAUUGUGGAUAUGCAUGUUACCCAGAUAUGCAACAAUCUCAUUCCCAGGCUCUUACUUCUUGUGGAGAAAAGACCCUGGCAUGAGCUGGUCAAGUGAUCUGCUGAAAUCUAGUAGAUUUCUAAGUAACUAUCUUGGAUUCCUUUAAAAUCCAAUCAAAUCAAACUUGCAAAACAAAAUGCAAGUUAUAAUUUAAAGAAAUAGACAAACGUAAUUUUAUUGCCAUCUCCCAUUAUUAAUACCAGAG
rnacentral:lncRNA from 1 species